GCCUUCGUGGUGAAAUUGGUAGACACGCAGGACUUAGAAUCCUGUGAGGCGACUCAUGACGGUUCGACUCCGUCCGAAGGCA
rnacentral:tRNA from 1 species